CAGCUUCCUUCUGGAGCCUUGCUUACCCAUCUCCUCGCCAGAGGCUGCAAAGUUCCUCCCCAAGGGCAUUGGAACACAGGAAUUGUCGGGACUGACUGCUGACAAGCUAGGAGCCAGCUCCUACAGAAGUGUGCAACUAUUGUCAUCCAACAAUAGUCCAGCAGUAUGAUAAAGGUGCCCUAUUGAGAGGUCUGAAGACUAUCCCUCCAUGGGGGAGGCAGCGUGAUCCAGUCCAUCAGGCCAGGAUUCAAGGAGGCUUGUGUUCUGCCUGCUACCAACUCCCUGCAUGACUGCAGCCUUGUCAUUUAACCUUUGUGCGUUGUCACUGCACUCCUGUAAAAUGAGGCUGAUGAUGCUUGCAGCUCCUUUGUAAAGUACUUUGAAGCUAUAGAGUCAACACCCCCUUAAAGAGACCAGAAGCCAUUCACAGCUCUGCAGACCCAGGCAGAUGAGACAGCAUUGCAUCAGUUUACACUUUGCCUACAUCUUGAAGGCUUCGUCUGCAUCCAUAAUAGCAGGAGACUUUUAAACAUAAAAUAAAAUAGAGGCUUCGAAGCUGGAACAUGAGACAAAUCACCAUGGGAUAAUACUGGCUUGCAGGCCAACAAGAGCUGGUAAAACUCAAACAUUCAAGUGUCAGAUGCCCCCAAAAUUGUGAGAUUGGCUUAACAAUCCUGUGAUAUUUUUAUAAAAGAUGUAGUUUUGGUUCUUUAAAUGUAUCUUCUGCUUCCUGAGUCUUCAGGAUUUACUUGCUUCACAUCUUAAAGGAUUUUCCC